rnacentral:rRNA from 1 species
UACGGGGGGGGCAAGCGUUGUUCGGAAUUACUGGGCGUAAAGGGUUCGUAGGUGGCCAACUAAGUCAGACGUGAAAUCCCUCAGCUCAACUGGGGAACUGCGUCUGAUACUGGUCGGCUUGAGUGCAGGAGAGGAACGCGGAAUUCCAGGUGUAGCGGUGAAAUGCGUAGAUAUCAGGAGGAACACCGGUGGCGAAGGCGGGUCUCUGGGCCGAUACUGACGCUGAGGAGCGAAAGCGUGGGGAGCGAACAGG